AGGCCCAGCAGCAGCAGCAGUGUAUUGUCGACUGCCCCAUGUCCUGCCUCUGGACUGUAAGAGAUGACCUGCGUCGUCCGAAGGCUGCCUUCCUGAGGACAGGAAGUCGCAGCUCAGGGAGUCGGAGCCGCAGCUCAGAGCUGGCGUGAUUCAGAACGAGAUCUCGUUCCUGAAAG
rnacentral:lncRNA from 1 species